UGUGGGCACCGGGUUCUAUAGUCUGCAAAUGCUUUGUGUGUGGCCCUCAAUGCCUUUCUGUAGCCGUCCAAUAAAUUUCCCAUCACAUAGAGCUCGCGCUCAAGCCGGUAAAUAUCAGACUGCAUCUUCUGUUGCUCCUCAAACUUUGUCUUUCUCAAAUGUUCAAUAAAUGUCUCUCUCUGCUGCAGCUCGUGAAGCAAGUAUUGCUGAUUCAUAGUGGCCUGCUGAUGAACCUG
rnacentral:misc_RNA from 1 species